UUUGGAUUUUGGAACUGACAACAUAAAAUUCUGCACUGUCCCUCACCUGGACUUCAUGCCAGGUUUGACCUCCACCACUUUAUCAGAGACAUGGACCACACGGAUGGUGACUUCACCAGAUUCUGGAUGACUCUGACGCUUCAGAUACUCGUUCACUCGUGUCUCCAGAACGCAUAUCUGAUGCAUUUUUCGACCACAGUCAGCACAUUCCAGCAGUCUGAGGAAGAAGGGUGGAAACAAAGGUCAGAUGACAACAACAAAUCCAAGCUGUGACUACAAGCAAACUGAGAUGAGACAAUCAGAGCAAGUGAAUAUGUGAAAAAGUAAACAUACAGUUCGGGGUCGAGGGUGUCGUUCUUUUUCCUUUGAAACUGAUCUUUAUUGAUGGACCUGAGGAGAGAAAACGAGAGACAGAGAAGAGGAGGCCGCCCAAUCGAGUGAGUCAUGAGAAUCAAUGAACGAACACUCAACGGUAUCAGAUACUGAGGAAUAACAUCACGGCAAUAACAAUGAAGCAGAAGAUCAAAACACAAAUGUGUAGACGGGUUACUCACGUUUGAGGCUGGGUUGGAUCAUCCCCCAGGGACACAUUCUCCCCCUGGAUUUCGUUGAAACACUUCUCACAGAAGUGGUACCUGUCAGCAAGAAGCCCAUAUUUGGGUGAACUAGACCGUUCGCCAAGAGCACAGCCAAUCACAGUGAGGGCACGUGGAAGCAGCCACCAAUCAGGGCAGGACAGGCCAGGAGACAGGCACACAGGAGAAGGCAGGUUCGUCGCCGGGAGCAGCCAAUCAUGAAGCAGGGUUUUUGUGUGGGCAGAUUGAUUGAUUGGUUGCGUGUAAAUUUCGGAGCGGAUGAUUGGUCACAUCAAAGCAGGCCAAUGCAGACAUCACAAGCGUUAAAAAAGGAGGGAGAGAAAGGGGGGAGGAGGAGGGCAGAAUGAAUAUUUUAAAAAAGUGUGAGAAACAAAACCGUUAUGAGGGACAAAGAGCUAAGUGUUGGACAGGUGGAGGGGUGGGUCAGAUGUAGAAGAAGAAAAUGAAACUAAAAGAGAGAGAGCAGGAAGCCGAGGCAAAGCACAGACGGGCUCCCUCACGUCCACUGAGCUCCAAAACAACCGUGACGCCCAGAGGAGCGAGGGACAACAAUGGACAGAGUGAACGAGAAGAAUGAGAACAGGAGCAACGGAGACCCAUCAUCCUUCCAGUGCAUUUUAAAGAGGGUCUCAAGAUUCAUUACAAAAACAAAAUGUGUGACAGAUGAACAGUUAGUACACCCUGAAGUUGGCAGCAUGAACUCUUGUGAAAGAAGUCUUAGCCUGAAAAAAUUAAGUUUGCGUUAAGAGGUUCCACUGAAAAAUUUUAUAAGAACUGGGGUCCUCUACUUAAUUUUGUCAAAAAUACACCACUUAUCUUUGUUGAUUUGUAAUAUAUAUUUUUAAUUAUUCUAUGGAGUCAUUUGUUUAUUCUUCUGUUUCAUUCAAAUGUGUAUAAUGGUCUUAUUUUUUUUUUUUUUCUUUAUUUUUUUUUUUUCUUUCUGAAAAUGUACUUAAGUUUUAUUCUCCUCCUUGGGGGUGGGUGGGGGUUUUGGGCUCACUGACGGUUGUGAUUGUUCAAUUUUGUGUCCACCCUUAGUAAUUGUUAAUAGAAAAAGAAAAGGAAUGUAGAGAUUCAUUAAUGUUGCUUUCUUUGUAUAUUCCAAUAAAAAAAAACAUCCAGGUCACAUGAUGCCCCAAAAAUCAAUAAUUAAAAAAAAGAAAGAAAAAAAA